rnacentral:rRNA from 1 species
AGCUGAUUGCAUUGCUCGAAAGGGCAGGCGACGUAUCUUUCAAGUGUCUUACCUAUCAACUAUCGUUGGUAGUUGAUAUGACUACCAUGGUCGUAACGGGUAACGGGGAAUCAGGGUUCGAUUCCGGAGAGAGAGCAUGAGAAACGGCUGUCACAUCCAAGGAAGGCAGCAGGCGCGCAAAUUACCCAAUCCCAGAUCGGGGAGGUAGUGACGAAAAAUAACGAUGCCGUAAUCUUCGGAUUCGGCAAUCGGAAUGAGAACAAUCAAAAUCCUUUAUCGAGGAUCGAUUGGAGGGCAAGUUCUGGUGCCAGCAGCCGCGGUAAUCCCCCACGCUCGAACAGGCGUAUGUUAAAUUUGCUGUCGGCGUUAAAAAGCCUCGUUAGUUAGGGUGUCAGAAGCUGAACUGGCGCGCUGCCAUGCCACAAGUUUCUUGUGAGGUAUAUGUAGCAUUGCUCAAGAUUCACUACUUAUAAAUGUCACCUCUCCCGCGCCUCAAAAAGACCAAUUAGUUUUGGGUGACGCAACAAGGAAGGUGUCCAAACCUACUUUGAGAAAAUUUAGCGUGCAUAACGCAGGCGAUCUUGCUUGUAUACUGUUGCACGGAAUAAUGAGAUAAGGACCUUGGAUCUGUUAAAUCAAUUGGUGUUCCGGAAGCCGAGGUAUCAUGAUGGAGUACUGGUGACAAACGAGGGCAUUCGUAUUGUGAGUGACUAAAGGUGAAAUUUCUAUGAUCACCUGAAAGACGAACAACUGCUGAAAGCAUAAUGCCCAAGUAUACUGUGCUUUAGAGUUAAUCAAUGAACGAUAAGUAGGAGGUUCGAAGAGCGAUGUAGAGACCGUCCUAGAUUCUAACUAUCCAGAGACUAUGCCAACUGGGCAUCUCGCGCUCUGCAAUUAGUCAUCCCCACCCACCCCAGCGUGUGAAACCAGAACGCGAUGGGGUUCCGGGGGUGAGUAUAGAUGUGCAUAGUAAGUCGAAACUUAAAGGAAUCUCGAGGAGGGGCAAACCAGACUAGUGGAGCCUCGCGGCCUCAAUUUGUUACUCACACCCACGACAUAAUAUCUUUACUAGAUCCGAACACCGUGAGGAUUGACAGGUUGAUAGCUCUUUCUUGAUUCGGUGGGUGGUGGUGCAUGGCCGUUCGUAGUUGGUGGAGUGAUUUGUCUGGUUUAUUCCGAUAACGAACGAGACUCUAGCCUAUUAAUUAGUGAAGCGGGCAAGCCUUCAAAAAGAUUGUUGAAUGGUAACGCCGCUCAAACACUUCUUAGAGGGACAAGUGUCGUGAGGCACUCGAAGUUGAGCAAUAACAGGUCUGUGAUGCCCUUAGAUGUUCGGGGCUGCACGCGCGCUACAAUGGAGGCUGCAAAGCGCAUUCCUGUUUCGAAAGGAACGGGGAAUCAUAAAUAGCCUUCACGAUUGGGAUCGGAGAUUGUAAUUAUUCUUCGUGAAAGAGGAAUUCCUAGUAAACGCGAAUCAUUAUUUCGCGUUGACUAAGUCCCUGCCCUUUGUACACACCGCCCGUCGCUACUACCGAUCGAAUGGUUUAGUGAGGUUUUCGGAUGGGUUGCAUGGAGCCACAAGCUCCACUGCAUACUUCAAAAGUUGACCG